rnacentral:rRNA from 1 species
UACGAAGGGUGCAAGCGUUACUCGGAAUUACUGGGCGUAAAGCGUGCGUAGGUGGUUUGUUAAGUCCGAUGUGAAAGCCCUGGGCUCAACCUGGGAAUGGCAUUGGAUACUGGCAGGCUAGAGUGCGGUAGAGGGCAGUGGAAUUCCCGGUGUAGCAGUGAAAUGCGUAGAGAUCGGGAGGAACAUCUGUGGCGAAGGCGACUGCCUGGACCAGCACUGACACUGAGGCACGAAAGCGUGGGUAGCAAACAGG